rnacentral:rRNA from 1 species
AUAUAUCUCCCUGAUGGUGCUAAAUUCUAUACCUUCGGUCUUGCUGCCAUCUGCUGGGCAGUGUGGAACUGUCGAAACAGAGCAACCUUUGAGUUUAAGCUUCCUAAAACUCCUUUUGAGAUUGUGUUCUCUGCUUGUGUCUUCAUCACCUACUGGGCAGGUCUUUUGAAGGGGGCAGACCGUGAGGCGAUGGAGCAUGGGUCGCAGAUGCUGAGGAGCAGUACAAGCAAUAUGAUGAUGAUCUGCGCCGCUGCGACAGAAGAUUCGGCGACAACUUGA